rnacentral:rRNA from 1 species
UACGUAGGGGUGCAAGCGUUGUCCGGAAUUAUUGGGCGUAAAGAGCUCGUAGGCGGUUUGUCGCGUCUGCUGUGAAAACCCGAGGCUCAACCUCGGGCCUGCAGUGGGUACGGGCAGACUAGAGUGCGGUAGGGGAGAUUGGAAUUCCUGGUGUAGCGGUGGAAUGCGCAGAUAUCAGGAGGAACACCAAUGGCGAAGGCAGAUCUCUGGGCCGUAACUGACGCUGAGGAGCGAAAGCAUGGGGAGCGAACAGG